rnacentral:rRNA from 1 species
UAGGGAAUCUUCGGCAAUGGACGAAAGUCUGACCGAGCAACGCCGCGUGAGUGAAGAAGGUUUUCGGAUCGUAAAACUCUGUUGUUAGAGAAGAACAAGGACGUUAGUAACUGAACGUCCCCUGACGGUAUCUAACCAGAAAGCCACGGCUAACUACGUGCCAGCAGCCGCGGUAAUACGUAGGUGGCAAGCGUUGUCCGGAUUUAUUGGGCGUAAAGCGAGCGCAGGCGGUUUCUUAAGUCUGAUGUGAAAGCCCCCGGCUCAACCGGGGAGGGUCAUUGGAAACUGGGAGACUUGAGUGCAGAAGAGGAGAGUGGAAUUCCAUGUGUAGCGGUGAAAUGCGUAGAUAUAUGGAGGAACACCAGUGGCGAAGGCGGCUCUCUGGUUUGUAACUGACGCUGAGGCUCGAAAGCGUGGGGAGCAAACAGG